GCUCAGAUUGAACGCUGGCGGCAGGCCUAACACAUGCAAGUCGAGCGGUAGCACAAGAGAGCUUGCUCUCUGGGUGACGAGCGGCGGACGGGUGAGUAAUGUCUGGGAAACUGCCUGAUGGCGGGGGAUAACUAGUGGAAACGGUAGCUAAUACCGCAUAACGUCGCAAGACCAAAGUGGGGGACCUUCGGGCCUCACGCCAUCAGAUGUGCCCAGGUGGGAUUAGCUGGUAGGUGGGGUAACGGCUCACCUAGGCGACGAUCCCUAGCUGGUCUGAGAGGAUGACCAGCCACACUGGAACUGAGACACGGUCCAGACUCCUACGGGAGGCAGCAGUGGGGAAUAUUGCACAAUGGGCGCAAGCCUGAUGCAGCCAUGCCGCGUGUGUGAAGAAGGCCUUCGGGUUGUAAAGCACUUUCAGCGAGGAGGAAGGGUAAUGUGUUAAUAAGACAUUGC
rnacentral:rRNA from 1 species